rnacentral:misc_RNA from 1 species
UCUCCGUAGGUGAACCUGCGGAGGGAUCAUUACAAGUGACCCCGGUCUUACCACCGGGAUGUUCAUAACCCUUUGUUGUCCGACUCUGUUGCCUCCGGGGCGACCCUGCCUUCGGGCGGGGGCUCCGGGUGGACACUUCAAACUCUUGCGUAACUUUGCAGUCUGAGUAACCUUAAUUAAUAAAUUAAAACUUUUAACAACGGAUCUCUUGGUUCUG